rnacentral:lncRNA from 1 species
CACAAGAGGAAAAAGGAAGAUGAUGAGUGAGUCCACACUGAAAACUAAUUCCUGAGGUGAGAGGUGCAAAGUACAGAACACUCCUUACACAAGGCAUGGCUCACUUAACCUCAUCCCACACAAACAAGAGCCUGCCUGGCAAGGCCCUCCUAAAGGGUUGAGAAAAUAUUCUCCUUUGAUAUAACAUACAACAUACAUGGGUCAGUAAAAGGCAACUACUCCUGAGUUCCACAGACAUUGUCUUAUUAUAGCUCAAGUGUGACCUCAUAGUCAUGUGCUUGUCUACCAGGCCGACCCUCCAAAAAGGUUCUGAUUGCCCACGUGUGUGUGCGCGAUUUUUAUAUGUAAGGAAAUUGAAUUUUUGAAACCCAGUACCUCAAAAGAUACUGAGGAAAAUGUUGUCUCCAUGAGUUGGAAGAAUGGCGCUCUGGAACGGAUAUAUUCUUUUUUCUACUGUGGGUCUUGGAGCGUUUCCUCAUCAUUCUGAAACCAAAUGUCAUUGGAAUUUUCUGGUAGGACUCCACCAAGUAGGAGGGUUUCUUUCCCCAUCUCACAAGUGAAGAAGCCGAGGUCCAGAGAACGUAACAUGGCGGGUGCCGGGUCCCAGGGCGGAUGCUCACUGCGCCUGCGCUGGCUGUGUUUCCCACCCCCCGGCUGCUGCUGUCCCUGCCGAAUCUUGCUGUGUGCGUUGAGAUCAGAAAAUGGACAAUUUUUCUCAGCUCCUCGGGCUCCAAGGUGCUGGCAACACGUGAAGGAGAUUUCAGCGUAUCUUGGAAGAACAGACUUGAAAUGAAAGCCUAUGUAAAAUAUAUAUAUAGAAGAAGACAUCCUCAAAAUGUGAAAACCAGUGCUGAAUUGAAGGAAGGUGAAAUCAGCAUUGAAGCUGGAGGAUUAUUUAACACAAAGCAAUAAACAAAGCAAAAAAAAUUAAUUGUUCUUUAGUGACAGGGAUAAAAUGAUAACCUAAUGAAGCAAUGCAUUACUUCUAUUAAAUUCAAAAGUUAGGUUCUUUGGAAUCAUUGCUAGAAGAUUUUGUGUGUGUGUGUGUGUGUGUGUGUGUGUGUGCAUGUGUGUGCAUGCGUGUGAAAGAGAGAGUGAUGGCAAGAAGGGUAACAAAAGAGAUGAUUUCCAGAUGUAAUUUAAUUUUGGGCUGUGCAUCAAAAGAAUGCAGGCUUAUGUACUGGCAUUGUUACAUGCAAGGGC